rnacentral:rRNA from 1 species
GACAGAGGUGCCAAGCGUUAGGCGGAAUCACUGGGCUUAAAGCGUGUGUAGGCGGACUUUUAAGUACCUUGUGAAAUCCCCCGGCUCAACCGGGGAACCGCUGGGUAUACUGGGAGUCUUGAGCCACCCAGGGGCAACCGGAACAAACGGUGGAGCGGUGAAAUGCGUAGAUAUCGUUUGGAACGCCAAUGGUGAAAACAGGUUGCUGGGGGUGCGCUGACGCUGAGACACGAAAGCCAGGGGAG